AUACUAGAGAAACAAAGGACUGCAGAUGCUGGAAUCUAGAUGGAAAACCUGAUGAUGUUGGAGGAACUCAGCAGGCCAGGCAGUGUGGGUCUUUGAGGCUUUGGUGUGAAGAGGUGGAGGCUAAGACAAAGCCCCAAGACCCAGACUGAACCAGUGACUGUUCCUUCCUGGAAUCUCUGUCUGGGGACACCCACCCAUCCAGAGUUCCUUGUAUACCAUUGCAGCCAGUGCCAGCCUCCUUCAUUCAGC